AUUGAACGCUGGCGGCAGGCCUAACACAUGCAAGUCGAGCGGAUGAAGGGAGCUUGCUCCUGGAUUCAGCGGCGGACGGGUGAGUAAUGCCUAGGAAUCUGCCUGGUAGUGGGGGAUAACGUCCGGAAACGGGCGCUAAUACCGCAUACGUCCUGAGGGAGAAAGUGGGGGAUCUUCGGACCUCACGCUAUCAGAUGAGCCUAGGUCGGAUUAGCUAGUUGGUGGGGUAAAGGCCUACCAAGGCGACGAUCCGUAACUGGUCUGAGAGGAUGAUCAGUCACCCUGGCACUGAGAAACGGUACAGACUCCGACGGGAGGCAGCAGUGGGGAAUAUUGCACAAUGGGCGAAAGCCUGAUCCAGCCAAGCCGCGUGAGUGAAGAAGGUCUUCGGAUUGUAAAACACUUUAAGUUGGGAGGAAGGGCAGUAAGUUAAUACCUUGCUGUUUUGACGUUACCAACAGAAUAAGCCCCGGCUAACUUCGUG
rnacentral:rRNA from 1 species